AGAGUUUACAUGGUCCUUCCUUAAUGUGUGCAUUGACCCGGAACAAAGACUGUCUUUGUAAUAGUUAUAUAUCUCUGUGUUCGAACAAUUAUAUAAUGAAUUUUACCCCCAAAAUAAGAUAUUCAAAACACGAAUAAUGUUGAUUCAUUAUUAUUUUUCGAAUACCAUUUUUCGUGUAUUUUGUGGGAAAAGGUAAACCACGAAAUUAAAUGUUCAACAAGUAAUAGAUUUUCUACAGGUUUUCAUGAAAACCUCGGGGAAAACAACGGAAUCAAAAUAUCCACGAACAUUUAAGUAUUCCUCACUCCUCGAAAUUUGACACCCAUGAGAAUAAAUGAACCUGCAGUAUACUUAAAUACUUAAUUGGUUCAUCCCUAUGUAGAUGCAACGAUAAUGAUUAUUAUAUGUAUUAUAUUACAGAGCUUGCAUUGUAUAUUUGAUGAGAAAUUAACAUGUAGAAAUAGGAAGAUGCGGUUUAAUUGCCAAUGAUUAAACUCUCAACCCGAUACCAAAUGACAUAAACGUUACCAACUAUAAGUUACCAUACGGCCUUCAACGAUGAGCAAAACUAAUACCGCAUUGUCAGCUUUAAAAUGUUGACAAAAUAAUGCAAACAAGAAAAAACUAACGUCAUGAUUUAUAGGGAAAAAAAAUUAUAAACGAAAUACAAAUAUGACAUAUACAGCAACAAAAGAAAGCACAGAAUUACAGGCUCCUGACUUGGCACAGGCACAUACAUAAUGUGACGGGGUUAAGCAUGUUAGUGGGCGCUCAACACUCCCCUAACAUGUGACAGUGGUAUAACAGUACAAAAUAUGAACAAUCUAUAAAAUUAAAAAGGGCUUAUCUCAUCAAUUCGAUACACAGCAGAAAAAUACGUAACAAAAUUAAACAAACAACGGUCGGACGUGACAGGGUAGUUAUACAUCUCUACAACUUAAAAGUCACAAAGUACAGAACUGAGAGCCUCUGUAAUUCAGUCGUUGUCGUUUAAUUUCUUGUUUGAAUUGUUUUUUAUUUGUGCUUCUGUGCCUUUUAUAGCUAACUAUGUGGUGGGGCUUUUCUCUUUGUUGAAGGCCGUACAGUGACACAUAGCUGUUAAUUUCUGUUUCAUUGAAUUUGUGAAGAGUUGUCUCAUUAGCAAUUAUACC
rnacentral:lncRNA from 1 species